rnacentral:rRNA from 1 species
GUAAUGUCUGGGAAACUGCCUGAUGGAGGGGGAUAACUACUGGAAACGGUGGCUAAUACCGCAUAACGUCGCAAGACCAAAGAGGGGGACCUUCGGGCCUCUUGCCAUCAGAUGUGCCCAGAUGGGAUUAGCUAGUUGGUGAGGUAACGGCUCACCAAGGCGACGAUCCCUAGCUGGUCUGAGAGGAUGACCAGCCACACUGGAACUGAGACACGGUCCAGACUCCUACGGGAGGCAGCAGUGGGGAAUAUUGCACAAUGGGCGCAAGCCUGAUGCAGCCAUGCCGCGUGUAUGAAGAAGGCCUUCGGGUUGUAAAGUACUUUCAGCGGGGAGGAAGGUGUUGUGGUUAAUAACCGCAGCAAUUGACGUUACCCGCAGAAGAAGCACCGGCUAACUCCGUGCCAGCAGCCGCGGUAAUACGGAGGGUGCAAGCGUUAAUCGGAAUUACUGGGCGUAAAGCGCACGCAGGCGGUCUGUCAAGUCGGAUGUGAAAUCCCCGGGCUCAACCUGGGAACUGCAUUCGAAACUGGCAGGCUUGAGUCUUGUAGAGGGGGGUAGAAUUCCAGGUGUAGCGGUGAAAUGCGUAGAGAUCUGGAGGAA